rnacentral:rRNA from 1 species
CAAGUCGAGUGCGCGGUUGUAGCAAUACAACUGGCGCACGGCGCACGGGUGCGUAACACGUGGGUAACCUGCCCUUUGGUGGGGAAUAACUCCGCGAAAGCGGAGCUAAUUCCGCAUAAGAUCCGCAAGGAUGAAAGCAGCAAUGCGCCGAAGGAGGGGCCCGCGCCCGAUUAGCUAGUUGGUGAGGUAAUGGCUCACCAAGGCAUUGAUCGGUAGCUGGUCUGAGAGGAUGAUCAGCCACACUGGAACUGAGACACGGUCCAGACUCCUACGGGAGGCAGCAGUGGGGAAUCUUGCACAAUGGGCGAAAGCCUGAUGCAGCGACGCCGCGUGGGGGAUGAAGCAUUUCGGUGUGUAAACCCCUUUCGAUCCGGACGAAACCCCGCAAGGGAUUGACGGUACGGAUAUAAGAAGCCCCGGCUAACUACGUGCCAGCAGCCGCGGUAAGACGUAGGGGGCCAGCGUUGUUCGGAAUUACUGGGUGUAAAGGGUUCGUAGGCGGUGCGGCAAGUUGGGAGUGAAAUCUCUGGGCUUAACCCAGAGGCUGCUUCCAAAACUGCUGUGCUUGAGUGUGGGAGAGGCGCGUGGAAUUGCAGGUGUAGCGGUGAAAUGCGUAGAUAUCUGCAGGAACACCCGUGGCGAAAGCGGCGCGCUGGACCACUACUGACGCUGAGGAACGAAAGCUAGGGGAGCAAACAGGAUUAGAUACCCUGGUAGUCCUAGCCCUAAACGAUCAGGACUUGGGGUGCCACCCGUUCGGGUGUCGUCCCGGAGCUAACGCGUUAAGUCCUGCACCUGGGGA